AAGUUGACCUUGUGUAAUGUCCCCGCUGACUUGGCCGGGUUGAACCCACAGGGCCAGAUUGUUGUAGUGUGCAGGUUAUUGUUUGUGUCUGAGCAGUUUGGGGUUUAUUUGCCAAGGGAGGCUGUGGAAUGUUAUGGUGUUUUUGUCCCAAUAUUUGGAGGCAGUGCCCUGGAUUAGUUGAUUUCUGCCUGGCUCCCUGAUGUCUGAGUUCUGAGGUGUACCAAGAACUGGUAGUUUUUGCAGUGGGAUGUACCCUAGAAACUGCCUGGAGCUGAGCCAAGGAACUGAAAGGGACUGAGCAAGCAAAGUAAAGAAAGAAUGAAGAAGGGAACUGAGGCAGCUGUCAAGCAGCACCAAGCUCCUCUACAACCAGGAGAAAAUGGGGGAAGCGGGAAGGAAGAAGAGAAGCCCCGUGACUCCUCCCUGAGCCCCAGACAGCCCAGGAACUGCCUCCCUGGGAAUGGUGGCACGGGCUGGACUCUGGAUUGCUCCCUCUGGAUGUGUGGCUCUCCCCUGCAGGAACUCCAGGA